UGGGGAAUAUUGCACAAUGGGGGAAACCCUGAUGCAGCGACGCCGCGUGGAGGAAGAAGGUCUUCGGAUUGUAAACUCCUGUUGUUGAGGAAGAUAAUGACGGUACUCAACAAGGAAGUGACGGCUAACUACGUGCCAGCAGCCGCGGUAAAACGUAGGUCACAAGCGUUGUCCGGAAUUACUGGGUGUAAAGGGAGCGCAGGCGGGAGAACAAGUUGGAAGUGAAAUCCAUGGGCUCAACCCAUGAACUGCUUUCAAAACUGUUUUCUUGAGUAGUGCAGAGGUAGGCGGAAUUCCCGGUGUAGCGGUGGAAUGCGUAGAUAUCGGGAGGAACACCAGUGGCGAAGGCGGCCUACUGGGGCACCAACUGACGCUGAGGCUCGAAAGUGUGGGUAGCAAAC
rnacentral:rRNA from 1 species